GAUGAACGCUAGCGGCAGGCCUAAUACAUGCAAGACGAACGGUAAGUUGAGUAGCAAUACUUAGCCAAGAGUGUCGUACGGGUGCGUAACACGUAUGCAACCUACCCUAUACAGGAGGAUAGCCUAGGGAAACCUGGAUUAACCCUUCAUAGUAUUAUUGGAUGGCAUCAUUUGAUAAUUAAAACUGAGGUGGUAUAGGAUGGGCAUGCGUCUGAUUAGUUAGUUGGCGGGGUAAUGGCCCACCAAGACGAUGAUCAGUAGGGGUUCUGAGAGGAAGAUCCCCCACACUGGCACUGAGAUACGGGCCAGACUCCUACGGGAGGCAGCAGUAGGGAAUAUUGGUCAAUGGAUGCAAGUCUGAACCAGCCAUGCCGCGUGCAGGAAGAAGGCCUUUCUGGGGUUGUAAAACUGCUUUUGCCAGGGGAUAAAAUUUCCAUGCGUGGAAAACUGAAGGUACCUGGUGAAUAAGCCACGGCUAACUACGUGCCAGCAGCCGCGGUAAUC
rnacentral:rRNA from 1 species